AGAAUCCAAAUUUCUACAGCCAAAGGAUUGGGUCCACCAUCGAAAAAAGGAGGGUUUAGUCUCCAAAACUCAAAAAUGUUGUGAGAAAUAGUCUUAUAUAAGGGACAACAAUUAUGGGCAGGAGGGCUCUGAUCAUGUUGGGCCUGAUUAUGACCAACUACGGCGGUUAGGCUCUGAAUAACUCAAAAGAUUUCCGUAAACUCAGCCUGAGUCAGGGCGUCUUGGACCUCAGUGUGGCCAAUGGAUGGCCUCCCAUAAGUCAUUCAAUCUACACAC
rnacentral:lncRNA from 1 species